rnacentral:rRNA from 1 species
UACUGUGGCCAAACCUUGUCAAAGACUGAUCGCAUUAGAUGUCAGAAACUAAACAGGACUGGGCCUGGUUAGUACUUGGAAAGGAGACUGCCUGGAAUAUCAGAUGUCACAGUGG